rnacentral:rRNA from 1 species
AUUGAACGCUGGCGGCAUGCCUUACACAUGCAAGUCGAACGGCAGCACGGGUGCUUGCACCUGGUGGCGAGUGGCGAACGGGUGAGUAAUAUAUCGGAACGUACCUUGUAGUGGGGGAUAGCUCGGCGAAAGCCGGAUUAAUACCGCAUACGCUCUGAGGAGGAAAGCGGGGGACCUUCGGGCCUCGCGCUACAAGAGCGGCCGAUAUCUGAUUAGCUAGUUGGUGAGGUAAAAGCUCACCAAGGCGACGAUCUGUAGCUGGUCUGAGAGGACAAACAGCCACACUGGGACUGAGACACGGACCAGACUCAUACGGGAGGCAGCAGUGGGGAAUUUUGGACAAUGGGCGAAAGCCUGAUCCAGCAAUGCCGCGUGUGUGAAGAAGGCCUUCGGGUUGUAAAGCACUUUUGUCCGGAAAGAAAUCCUUUGGGUUAAUACCUCGGGGGGAUGACGGUACCGGAAGAAUAAGCACCGGCUAACUACGUGCCAGCCGCCGCAGUAAUAC